GACGUAGGGCGCGAGCGUUGUCCGGAUUUAUUGGGCGUAAAGAGCUCGUAGGCGGCUUGUCGCGUCGGCUGUGAAAACCCGUGGCUCAACUGUGGGCGGGCAGCUGAUACUGGCAGGCUGGAGUUCGGUAGGGGAGACUGGAAUUCCUGGUGUAGCGGUGAAAUGCGCAGAUAUCAGGAGGAACACCGGUGGCGAAGGCGCGUCUCUGGGCCGAUACUGACGCUGAGGAGCGAAAGCAUGGGGAGCGAACAGG
rnacentral:rRNA from 1 species